rnacentral:rRNA from 1 species
AGCAGCCGCGGUAAUUCCAGCUCCAAUAGCGUAUAUUAAAGUUGUUGCAGUUAAAAAGCUCGUAGUUGAAUUUCGGGGUUAGUAGGUUGGUCAUGCCUCUGGUAUGUACUGGUCUCACUGAUUCCUCCUUUCUGAUGAACCUUAAUGCCAUUAAUUUGGUGUUUUGGGGAAUUUGGACUGUUACUUUGAAAAAAUUAGAGUGUUUAAAGCAAGCUAACGCUUGAAUACAUUAGCAUGGAAUAAUGAAAUAGGACGUUCGAUCCUAUUUUGUUGGUUUCUAGGAUUGACGUAAUGAUUAAUAGGGAUAGUUGGGGGCAUCAGUAUUCAAUUGUCAGAGGUGAAAUUCCUGGAUUUAUUGAAGACUAACUACUGCGAAAGCAUUUGCCAAGGAUGUUUUCAUUAAUCAAGAACGAAAGUUAGGGGAUCGAAGACGAUCAGAUACCGUCGUAGUCUUAACCAUAAACUAUGCCGACUAGGGAUCGGAUGAUGUUAAUUUUUUAAUGACUCAUUCGGCGCCUUACG